rnacentral:rRNA from 1 species
GACGAACGCUGGCGGCGUGCCUAAUACAUGCAAGUUGAGCGCUGAAGGUUGGUACUUGUACCAACUGGAUGAGCAGCGAACGGGUGAGUAACGCGUGGGGAAUCUGCCUUUGAGCGGGGGACAACAUUUGGAAACGAAUGCUAAUACCGCAUAAAAACUUUAAACACAAGUUUUAAGUUUGAAAGAUGCAAUUGCAUCACUCAAAGAUGAUCCCGCGUUUUAUUAGCUAGUUGGUGAGGUAAAGGCUCACCAAGGCGAUGAUACAUAGCCGACCUGAGAGGGUGAUCGGCCCCCUUGGGACUGAGACACGGCCCAAACUCCUACGGGAGGCAGCAGUAGGGAAUCUUCGGCAAUGGACGAAAGUCUGACCGAGCAACGCCGCGUGAGUGAAGAAGGUUUUCGGAUCGUAAAACUCUGUUGGUAGAGAAGAACGUUGGUGAGAGUGGAAAGCUCAUCAAGUGACGGUAACUACCCAGAAAGGGACGGCUAACUACGUG